rnacentral:pre_miRNA from 14 species
AUAUUCUAGAGUGAGAUAAACUCUGAUGGUGAAAGACCCCCAGAUCGGGGAGAGCCUCACUCAAGUCUUGGGAUGAUGCGACCCUCCAAGAACUCACAAGAGACC